AUCAUUAAUGAAUUGUAACAGGGGUUGAUGCUGGUGGCCGUUUUUUUGGCUACACAUGUGCUCGCUUCUGGCAACUUCAUCCAAACACCUGUGCACCUUCUAGAGGGGUUUCUGGGCUUAAUUGCUGAUCUAUUGGCACUUUUCCUAGAUCCCCUUUCUCUCUUAUAUACACCUUUUUGCAAUCUUGAACGUGUAUCUGCCUUGAUGGCAUUAACCUAAUACAACUUUUAACAACGGAUCUCUUGGCUCUCGCAUCGAUGAAGAACGCAGCGAAAUGCGAUAAGUAAUGUGAAUUGCAGAAUUCAGUGAAUCAUCGAAUCUUUGAACGCACCUUGCGCUCCCCGGUAUUCCAGGGAGCACGCCUGUUCGAGUGUCGUGAAAUUCUCAAGCUGGGUACUUUUUCUUUGAAAAGUUGUCUUAGUUUGGUAUUGGGCUUUGCCGUGCCCAAGUAAUUGGAACGGCUGGCCUUAAAAGUAUUAGCUGAUCCUCAUGUGGCAUUGGUUCUACUCAGCGUGAUAAUCAUUCUGACCGCCGAGGACAUCUUUCGAGAUGGCCAAUUCUCAUUUGGGUUGCUUCUAAAUCUGGUUUAUGGAUCUUUUGAUCUGUUCCACUUUCAACUUUGGCCUCGAAUCAGGUGGGACUACCCGCUGAACUUAAGCAUAUCAAUAAGCGGAGGAAAAGAAACUAACANGGAUUCCCCUAGUANCGGCGAGUGAAGCGGGAAAAGCUCAAAUUUAAAUCUGGCAGUCUUUG
rnacentral:rRNA from 1 species